rnacentral:tRNA from 1 species
GGGGAUGUAGCUCAAAUGGUAGAGCAUUCGCUUAGCAUGUGAGAGGUACGGGGAUUGAUACCCCGCAUUGAUA